GGAAUUCAAAACAUAAAUCAAUGCAAGCCACAAAACUUGCUGUAUCUAUUUGCAGUCUUGCAACAUGGUAUUGGGCGGAGAGGGGGCGGCUUGCACCCCCUUUUAUGAAGGCAAUUUAUACACCACUGUAACAUGGUAUUGGGAGGAAGGGGGGCGGCUUACACCCCCUUCCAUGAAGUCAAUUUAUACACCACUAGUUACUAUUUUUCCAAGUAUCGAAAUAUAUUUUUUAUUUUUUAUACUAAAAUUAAUUGUUUUAGUAAAGAUUGAAAUAUUUAAAAGAAUAAAAUUUUGAUAGGGUGUGUUAAACCUUAUUCAAAACCCAACACCCGACUUUGAGAUAGACUUGUAAUAUUCACUAGUGAUGUGGAAUAAAAUAAUAACAAUUUUUUGUAUAUAGAUAUUUGUAAUUUUUAAAA
rnacentral:lncRNA from 1 species